rnacentral:rRNA from 1 species
UACGGGGGGGGCAAGCGUUGUUCGGAAUUACUGGGCGUAAAGGGCUCGUAGGUGGCCAACUAAGUCAGACGUGAAAUCCCUCGGCUUAACCGGGGAACUGCGUCUGAUACUGGAUGGCUUGAGUUCGGGAGAGGGAUGCGGAAUUCCAGGUGUAGCGGUGAAAUGCGUAGAUAUCUGGAGGAACACCGGUGGCGAAGGCGGCGUUCUGGACUGUAACUGACACUGAAGAACGAAAGCCAGGGGAGCAAAGCGGG